rnacentral:rRNA from 1 species
AGAGUUUGAUCCUGGCUCAGGAUAAACGCUGACAGAAUGCUUAACACAUGCAAGUCGAUGAUGGGAGCUAGCUUGCUAGAAGAAGUCAUGGCGGACGGGUGAGUAACGUGUAAAGAACUUACCAUAUAGACUGGGAUAACAGAGGGAAACUUCUGAUAAUACUGGAUAAGUUAGAAGUAGCAUUACUAAGUAAUGAAAGGUAGCAAUACGCUAUAUGAGAGCUUUGCAUCCUAUUAGCUAGUUGGUGGGGUAAAAGCCUACCAAGGCGAUGAUAGGUAGCCGGCCUGAGAGGGUGGACGGCCACAAGGGGACUGAGAUACGGCCCUUACUCCUACGGGAGGCAGCAGUGGGGAAUAUUGGACAAUGGAGGCAACUCUGAUCCAGCAAUUCUGUGUGUGUGAAGAAGGUUUUAGGACUGUAAAACACUUUUAGUAGGGAAGAAAGAAAUGACGGUACCUACAGAAGAAGCGACGGCUAAAUACGUGCCAGCAGCCGCGGUAAUACGUAUGUCGCGAGCGUUAUCCGGAAUUAUUGGGCUUAAAGGGCAUCUAGGCGGUUAAACAAGUUGAAGGUGAAAACCUGUGGCUCAACCAUAGGCUUGCCUACAAAACUGUAUAACUAGAGUACUGGAAAGGUGGGUGGAACUACACGAGUAGAGGUGAAAUUCGUAGAUAUGUGUAGGAAUGCCGAUGAUGAAGAUAACUCACUGGACAGCAACUGACGCUGAAGUGCGAAAGCUAGGGGAGCAAACAGGAUUAGAUACCCUGGUAGUCCUAGCUGUAAACGAUGAUCACUGGGUGUGGGGAUUCGAA